AGUGCCGGGGACGAGCGGCCCGGCGGGAACAAACAGCCGCCGCGGCGGGAGCGCGGCUCCGGGGGCUCGAGGCGGCUCCCGGUUCCCCCCCGCAGAUCCCGCAAACCCUCCACUUCCUGGAGCAGCGGUCUUCCGUGCGCUCAGCCCUGGAUGUUAAGGUUUACGCGGACGCCAGCCGGAGCCGGGAGCAGGAGCGACAGCCCCACCCAUCAUCGCCCCAAGGCAGCUCUCCGACCACCGAGGCCGAAGCGCACUUGGCUCGCCAGCGGAGCCUGAGACGCCCGGACCAACGCCGCCCGAGCGGGGCCGACCCGAUCCCGAGCUGCUUCCGGCCCAAGGGGAGACGCGCUUGAGUGAUCGCGAGGAGCGAACUUGGCGUCCUCUGCCUCGGGCCUCGGAGAGACACACGACGCAAUCCAGCAGACACACGCACCCGCUCAGCUCUGCCGACGGCUAAGGAAGCGGGGAGAACAGCAUCAUUGGCACUUUCCUCCUCCCUCGCACUUUCUACAUGUCUUCGAUUCUAAACCAGCCAAUGUGAACCAGUAGCUUCUCCGCUCGCCAGCACACUCCUGGUUCCCCAGGCUCCAGCCCCUUGCCUAAGUUCAGGGUAAGACUGGGAAGGCAUGUGCUGCCCAGAUAUCCUGGUUCUAAUGCUCCAGGGAAGACUGGCUACAGAGUGAAGCUGCUGCAGCUGCCAGCCUCCUCCUCUGCCUGGCCCUGCUGCACACUGCUUGCAGCUGAGACCCAGCUCAAGAAAAGGGGCUGUGGCCCCCCCACAACCCCUGUUCUGCAGGGUGAUUCUUAAGAAAUCCCCCAAACUCUUAACACACACACACACACACACACACACACACACAGUUUUAUAGGAGCGGACACUGAGGCCCAGGCGAUCAUGUGACUUGUUAGGCUUUUGAAGGGCCCCCCAAAUGGGGUUGGACUCAGGUGUCAGGACUCCCAGCCCAGAGCUCUUCUAUUUAUCCAAAUAACUCCACGGAACCCCAGAGGGAACCCCACUCUUGCCUGGAGAGAGGUGUUUCUGGAGGCCUCUCGUUCCUCCCAAGGCUCUGGGCAAAUUUUUUUGAAUAAUACCAGGUAUCCACUCUCCGGGGCUGCAAGAAGGGCAAGCGGGAAUCCUGAGUUUCUUUACUCUCCCGCCCUUCUCCAGCCUUUCCUGCCUGCAGCCUCAUCUUUUGGUGGUGUCUGCGACCCCAGGUGAGUCUGUCACUGCCCUCCAUGAAAAACUGGGUGCACUCCCAGAAGCCCGGUUUCCAGCAUCCAUGUCUGCAGCCUCCAAGAAACGGGAGGUGAGGGGCUCUUUGGGGCUUGUUUUCUGUAUCCCUGCUGGUUCCCAGCCGCCUCCUUCCUACCUCUCACUAUUUAGCCACCUCCCUCGAGCAGCCCAGACACAACACAAGGAAGCGUUUGGGGGCGCCGGUUCAGGGGUUUUACACUCCAGAGUGUUCGGAGCACCGGGGAGCUGUGGUUGUGUGUUCCUUGCGUCGUGUCGCUGCCAAGGGCCACCCUCCCCUUGCAGCUCCUUCCUUCCCUUCUUAGGGCCCCUGUAGACCAAGCUGUCCUCGGCUCGCGGGAUGGUUCUGAGAAUUACGUCCAUCUCAAAACCGACCGAGAGGCGGCUGGAGGCCGGGGCGGGCAAGGAGGUCUCCCGUGGUUCCAGCGCGGAGAGCGCGGAGGCUGCAAAGCUCCUUCUGAGCCGCCUGAGCCGGGGCACAGGACUCCACGCCUGCACGGUUCUCUAAUUUUACUCGCAAAUCUAGCAGCUUCGGGGAAAGCGACGAGACCCAAGCAGCCACCCCCUCAUCCCGUCCCUACACGGGAGCGCGGCGGGUCCAUCUCCCUACCUUUUUCUCCUCCAGAUCCCAAGCUGCUCAAGAGCAACCGGCUCUUGGCCCCCGGUGGGAGGCGGGAGAUUCCAGAUCGUGCGACCUGCAGGGGCAAACCGUAGGCGAUUGGGCUCCCCCGACACGGGCGCAGGACUCGGGCUUAGAGAUCAGGGAGAGGCCGGCCCUUCGGCGGGCACGGAAAUGGCAGGGCCUCCGGUGGCGUGUAUGCUUUCAGCCGGGCCCGCCUGCCCAUCCCUAGAAGCCGGCUCAGGGGUCGGCACCUGUGCAACCCCCACAGCUCGGGUACUCCUCACCCCUUGGAGGAAACGCCUCUCUCUCCUUCUCUUAGCCACGUCCACGUCUGUCCCUGGCUAAGCGGCGGGGGCUCGCGGGAGCACCCUCCGGCCCCAGAGCUAGGCAUUGGCUGGACCCGGGCACUGCGGAGCCUGCACUCUUGUUCGUUCGCUGGAAGAGGGUGAGGGCUCAUGAGGGUGAAUACAGCGCGGUUCCGAAGCUGCCUAACAAGGGGCUCCAGCCUCUGCAGCAAGGGUGGCAGGGCAGGGCCCCACAUGCUUGGCAGAUGUGCCGCGGGGCCAGGCAAAUAUAGGAAGCGUCCAGCAAUGUCGAGGCGUGGGCCUCAGGUCAAAGUGCCCUGCUGUCCAGGCGCGUCCUGGGUUCCCAGUCCGCACCCGUGUAUGUCUGCCUCUCUGGGCAGUGGUGGCUUUGUGUGACCAAGUGCAUCCCUGAGCGCCUGGCCCCCUGCCGCACAUCUGCGCGGGGACAGCCUUGGAAGGCUCUCCAGCCAGGCCCACCUCCCCACCUCCGUGCCUGAAGGGGCUCCACCUGCUGUGGGUCUGCAGACCCGCGCGGGCUGCAGCGCAACCCUGGCAAGGAAGGAGGAUGUAGGGGGCGAGGGCUUGGGCAAGGGGUGGCACCAUGGCUGAGAGAGGAAGGAGAGGGUACAGGGGCCUCGUGCACACCGCCAGGAAGACUGCAGCGGCCACCCCUUUCCCAUCAAUUUUGCUCCACCCGCUGGGGCAGCAGUGCCUUGGGAACCAGGCAGCCUUCUGGAAUUGGAGGGGCGGGGAGGUCAGGAGCGCCUCAGAGCUAGCCCAGCCCAGCCCAGUCCCCCACCCCACUCUUUAAACACAUGCACAUGCACACAUAAGCUGUCAGGGUUAGCCUUUCAGACCAGGCUGGGUAACUGGCGAAGCUGUAAGUCCUUCCCGGGGAAGGGAAAUAUUGCUGGGGGCUGAGCCCUGUGAAGCUGCUGCGAGGCACGUAACUGAGCAAAGGGACCAGAGGGAGCCCUGGCCCGCUGCACAAAUGCUGGCGAAGGAUUCCUGGGAAACAGCGACCUCUGGAGGAGCUGCACAUCCACACAAAGAGGCAAGAACUGGACCACCAAGUCUGGGACCAAAGCGCCUGUUCCCCAACCUACUUCUUUGGCAAAGUCAUCCAGCGACUCCUCCUUGCGCAUGCUGGCUUCCUUUCCCAGCCUGUACCCGGGCUUCAAAUCCUGGCUCAAAUCCCACCCCCUCCAGAAGGAAGCCUCCUGGAGAGCCCAACUCAUCCUCUCCUCUUCCUGCUCUGAGCUCCUUCAAACCUAAAACCUGAACCCUUGGCACCAGCACUACUACACGGCCUGCUUCCUGCUUCCCCUUUUCCAAAGAAACCAUUAGGCAAUCCACUCCUCUCACCCUUUGCAUUCCACGCUGGAUGUGCUGUCUUUCUUCUCCCCUCGCCACCAGUAAUUAAAAGAGUGAAGGUUUAUCCCAAAAUUGAACUGCAGGUUUUGGAAGUCAUUUCCCAAGUGGGAAACUGAGACCCAGAGAGAGUGCAGACUUGCCCAAGGUCACACAGCAAAUUGAUUGCAGAGGUGGAACUAGAUCCCUGGGUUCCCAUUUCCCAGCCCAGAGCCCCCUCUGUUUCCCCUGAAUGAGGAGGGGAAGUGCAAGAAGGAACUUGUGGGAGGGUUCUGUUCCAGGAUGGGGCAGUAAAGAAGGGAGGGCACAGUUGCCCUGGGAGGUCACAUUCUUCCUUUGCCCAAUUCCAGCCCCAUCGAGCUACUUAAAGGGCUCCAAACUUUGGGCGUUGGCUGGGUGUCUUACAUCAGCAGGCAGGUCUGCUGCUGGAAGCUGGAAACCGCUUCAGUUCAGGCAAAUGCCACCCUCCCCUGUGUCCUGGAAAGGGAGAAGGGAGCUGCUAAUGCACACCCGGAGGGUGCUGCUGAAACCGCAGAUCAGCAGCAGGAGACCUUCUGGUGCUUGCAGUUAGAAAGGUAAGGGAGAAGCUGGGAGGGUAAUUUGCAUGUCAUUUGUAUGAGGCUCCAGUGAUCUCUGCCCAGCAGCCCGAGGCAGCCUCAGAGACACUCUCCCCCUACGCAUUGUGUGCUGUUCCGCAGGGGCUGCCAGGCAGCCCGCUCCCUCUGCCUCCCCCUCGGGCCACUCCCCCCACCUGCUUGUCCAGCCUCAAUUUCAACCCCUGCACUGCGUGCAUCCCUGAUGUGUUCUUUCUCACCUCUUCACCUUCUCACUGAGCGCACGCCUGCCUGGCUCAUGCCUCCUAAUCCUCUGUCCAUUUCAAGUGUCAAGCUUUCUGAAUCGCUUCCCCAGACAGCGCCCCACACUGGCCAGGCUGUGAAGGCACCUGCCUCGGUGCUCCCAAAGCACUACUUCCCUUCUUGUCUGCUGUCUUCUGUUGACUGGGAGCUUCUUGGGAACAGAUGUUAUAUCGUCUCCCUCCUCAUCUUUCCUCUUCUACAAAAUGGGGGCAACAAUUGUCCCUCCCUCAUUGAGUUGUUGGGAGGAUUACAGUGGAUAAUGCAUAUAAAGCACCUUUGUCUAGUGCCUGAAACUUCUUUAAAAGAAGCUCCAUAAAUGUUUCUCAUGGAUCUCAUCAUCAUUAUUAAACACUCCUCCUCCUGCCAGGCAGGCACAAAACCCAACACAUAGUAGGUCUGCGUUCUCUAAGGACAGACCUUGUUUCUCCCCCACUGGUCCCCACCCCUGGCAGGAGGAGGAUGUGUGCCCCCAUCAGAGAGGUUUUCCCAGGGCCCCAGACCCCAGCAGUCACUGGAUUUCUCUCUCAUGCUCUUUACUUCAGGUUCCUUCUUUUAAAGCCCUUCUGACCAAUCCAACUGGCCAAACCCCUGCCCAAAUCUUCCAGGGGCUCCCCACGGCUUACAAGUCAAAACUCAAUCUCCUUCGCACGGGGAGCCGAUGGGACUGUCCAGGCUCUGUCCCCCCCCCCGCCUCCCUCACAUGACCUCCAGAAGCAGGCAGACCACCUGGCUGAAUCAAACAUAGCAUUGCAAGUCCAAGGCCCAGUGACAGGCCCAGGCAGGGGGAAGAGACCUCAGCGGAGCCCAUCCCUCCUACCAGAUUUGUCCUUCUAUCCUGGACGCCGAGACUCCAGGAUAGAACCACUCUGGGGCUCUGGGAGCCGGGCUUCUCCUGGGGAUCAGAAGAUUAGCACAGGGCGUGGCUGCCAGCAGGCGUCCUCCUGCUGUGUGGACAGAGUGCUGUUUGACGUCAGAGCCCCUCCAAGAAGAACACAUCCUAGAGGGACAAAGUCUAAGAACAAUGCUGAGUCCUCCAGCUCUGCCUGAAACUGGAACCCUUAGACUUACUUCCCAGACGUUCUAAAGACAGUCCCCCUUUUGCUUGGGAUAGGUUGAAUCUAACUUGUGCUAAUUUGAGUUUAAUUUCACAAACAGCAGAGCCACAGGAGAGAAGGAGCUCGUGUUCCUGAGACCACUGACCGCCUACGCUCAGUUUUCAUGUGAAAAUAAACUUCCACCUGGGUUAAGUCAC